rnacentral:rRNA from 1 species
CGCGGCCUAUCAGCUUGUUGGUGAGGUAACGGCUCACCAAGGCAUCGACGGGUAGCUGGUCUGAGAGGACGAUCAGCCACACUGGGACUGAGACACGGCCCAGACUCCUACGGGAGGCAGCAGCAGGGAAUAUUGCGCAAUGGGCGAAAGCCUGACGCAGCGACACCGCGUGAAGGAUGAAGGCCCUCGGGUUGUAAACUUCUUUCAGUGGGGAAGAAGCGAAGGUGACGGUACCCACAGAAGAAGCCCCGGCCAACUACGUGCCAGCAGCCGCGGUAAUACGUAGGGGGCAAGCGUUGUCCGGAUUCAUUGGGCGUAAAGAGCUCGUAGGCGGUUCAGUAAGUUGGGUGUGAAAGCUCCGGGCUCAACCCGGAGAGGCCACUCAAUACUGCUGUGACUAGAGUCCAGUAGAGGAGCGUGGAACUCCUGGUGUAGCGGUGAAAUGCGCAGAUAUCAGGAAGAACACCGGCAGCGAAGGCGGCGCUCUGGGCUGGUACUGACGCUGAGGAGCGAAAGCAUGGGUAGCAAACAGGAUUAGAUACCCUGGUAGUCCAUGCCGUAAACGUUGGGCACUAGGUGUGGGGAGGAAUCAACCCUCUCCGUGCCGUAGCUAACGCAUUAAGUGCCCCGCCUGGGGAGUACGG